rnacentral:rRNA from 1 species
UACGGGGGGAGCAAGCGUUGUUCGGAUUUACUGGGCGUAAAGGGCGCGUAGGCGGCGCAACAAGUCACUUGUGAAAUCUCCGGGCUUAACCCGGAGCGGUCAAGUGAUACUGUCGUGCUAGAGUGCGGAAGGGGCUACUGGAAUUCCUGGUGUAGCGGUGAAAUGCGCAGAUAUCAGGAGGAACACCGAUGGCGAAGGCAGGUCUCUGGGCCACUACUGACGCUGGAGAAGCGAAAGCCAUGGGGGAGCGAACAGG